rnacentral:lncRNA from 1 species
GCUUUCUGUAUGAAAUGCCUGCAAAUUUCUAAAUCAAGCAAAAAAAUACUUUACAGACCAGAAGGCUUUGGUAACAUGCCAUGUUUAUGUAGGUGCAUAUCAGUGUGCAAAAUGAAAGCAUUUACCAGCUUUUGUUCCUGGCAAAUCUGAAGGCUGACAGAAUUAUGCAUAACUCUAGGACCUGAACAGUUUUGUUUAUUUUAAAUACAUUUUUAAUGUAUUUCAUUAGGUUUCGCAUUAUAUAGAUAUGGUGAACAAACCAGGGAAGAUGUCUGGAAGCCUAAAUCACCAAUGAAAAGAAAUAUUAGAUCUAUUUAUUCUGUAAAAACAGAUGAAGAAGGAACACCUUAAAGGCUACAUUUUGUUUUCACCUCAUUUUUCCCACAGAUCUUCUGUUUCUUUUCUCAUACCACAGAGAAGUCUGUUCAUUUUUUCAAUUUUUUCUUUUUUUCUUUUUUUUUCUUUUUUCCAGAGUAUCUGUGUGCAGCUUCAUGUACUAUGUUCACACACAAAUUCCCCCUCCCCCAAGUUAACAUUUCUGUAUUCUUAACAGCAUAGCUCAUAAAGUUAAUUUCUACUGCUGUAUGUGUAUUUCCUAAUUCUGUUUGCUGCAAUGAUCAUAGCAUAGUAGUGCUUUCCCAAUAGAAAUGUUUAUGGCAAGCUAUAUCACUGUUACUGAAACAGUCUCUAUUUCAAGUUGCAUGAGGAACUGACACAUUUCCUGCUGACUUUAUUUUACCUUUCCCUUACAUACUAUCAAAGUCAAGUCAAAUCACCCCCAAUUUAUAACAGCAUUUAACACCAACACAACAGCCACACUCACUACUCAUCUUUCUGAAACUGCUCUUUAAAAGAGAGUUACAUAUUUUUUAUUCCACCUUUCUCCUUUGAAUAAAAUGGUAAUCAUUAAAAAAAACGGACAAGGAUUCUCGUAUGGAAGAGUAAUUAACGGCUUCGUAGUCUGCUGCCUGAAGGUUGGCUUCCCCAGCUUGUUAAAAGGGAUUGGAGUUGUCCCAGUGACACUGUGUGCUCUGGGUAAGACCUGGAUGUUCUGGAACACUCCAUCUCUGGGAUAUCUAAUACAAGAAGCAAAUGUUCCUGAAGGAUCCACAAAAAAAGAAGAUGGGCUCAGCUGCAAUAUCGGCCAUAUCUGAAGGAAAGAGGGAAGGUGAAGCCAGAGAGCAGGGCAAAGACAACGAGGAGAUGCAGCAGCAAGAGGACUGCUGCAUGAGGAAAGUAAGUCUUGCAUUGCGUCCAGUCAACCCUGGAAGCCAGAGCUGAAUACAGCACACGUUUUCAUUAGCUUCAUGUACUCAGUGCUCAUUUGCUGAAUAAAAGAGUACACAGUACCA